CAGGUUGACCAGAUGAUCGCGGCAUUUAAAGUGUCGAGGAAAGUCCGCACUCCAAAGAGCAAGAAGCCGGAUAACACCCGGAGCGGGGAUGCCUUUCAGGUAACCUGCUAGAUUGGGCCACAGAAACAAACUGCCGUAAGGCGAUGGUGAAAAGGUGGUGUAAGAGACCACCGGCGACUGUAGUAAUACAGCGGCCAGGCAACCCUCUUCUGGAGCAAGGCCAAGCAGGAACGAAGCCAUAUAGCUGGAGAUUGCUCGUCUCCGUUUAAGUUCCGGGUAGGCUGCAAGAAUAGAUUGGUAACAAUCUAUCUAGAGAGAUGAUCAUCCUUCAAAUUGACGUCCUUCAUGGAUACUCAAUGGGAAGACAGAAUGCGGCUUAUCGGUUGACCUGGUUA
rnacentral:RNase_P_RNA from 1 species